UUCCAGACUCCUACGGGAGGCAGCAGUGAGGAAUAUUGGUCAAUGGGCGGGAGCCUGAACCAGCCAAGUCGCGUGGGGGAAGACGGUCCUACGGAUUGUAAACCUCUUUUGCCGGGGAGCAACGGGGUCCUUGCGAGGGCCCGAUGAGAGUACCCGGAGAAAAAGCAUCGGCUAACUCCGUGCCAGCAGCCGCGGUAAUACGGAGGAUGCGAGCGUUAUCCGGAUUUAUUGGGUUUAAAGGGUGCGUAGGCGGGCAUUUAAGCCGGCGGUCAAAUGUCGGGGCUCAACCCCGGCCUGCCGUCGGAACUGGGUGCCUUGAGUGGGCGAGAAGUAUGCGGAAUGCGUGGUGUAGCGGUGAAAUGCAUAGAUAUCACGCAGAACCCCGAUUGCGAAGGCAGCAUACCGGCGCCCUACUGACGCUGAGGCACGAAAGUGCGGGUAUCGAACAGGAUUAGAUACCCUAGUA
rnacentral:rRNA from 1 species